GAAUAUUGCACAAUGGGCGCAAGCCUGAUGCAGCGACGCCGCGUGAGGGAUGACGGCCUUCGGGUUGUAAACCUCUUUCAGUAGGGAAGAAGCGAAAGUGACGGUACCUGCAGAAGUAGCGCCGGCUAACUACGUGCCAGCAGCCGCGGUAAUACGUAAGGCGCAAGCGUUAUCCGGAAUUAUUGGGCGUAAAGAGCUCGUAGGCGGUUUGUCGCGUCUGCCGUGAAAGUCCGGGGCUCAACUCCGGAUCUGCGGUGGGUACGGGCAGGCUAGAGUGAUGUAGGGGAGACUGGAAUUCCUGGUGUAGCGGUGAAAUGCGCAGAUAUCAGGAGGAACACCGAUGGCGAAGGCAGGUCUCUGGGCCACUACUGACGCUGAGAAGCGAAAGCAUGGGGAGCGAAC
rnacentral:rRNA from 1 species